CCUACGGGAGGCAGCAGUGAGGAAUAUUGGUCAAUGGACGAGAGUCUGAACCAGCCAAGUAGCGUGAAGGAUGACUGCCCUAUGGGUUGUAAACUUCUUUUAUAUGGGAAUAAAACGUUCCACGUGUGGGAUUUUGUAUGUACCAUAUGAAUAAGGAUCGGCUAACUCCGUGCCAGCAGCCGCGGUAAUACGGAGGAUCCGAGCGUUAUCCGGAUUUAUUGGGUGUAAAGGGAGAGUAGGUGGAUUGUUAAGUCAGUUGUGAAAGUUUGCGGCUCAACCGUAAAAUUGCAGUUGAAACUGGCAGUCUUGAGUACAGUAGAGGUGGGCGGAAUUCGUGGUGUAGCGGUGAAAUGCUUAGAUAUCACGAAGAACUCCGAUUGCGAAGGCAGUUCACUGGACUGCAACUGACACUGAGGCUCGAAAGUGUGGGUAUCAAACAGGAUUAGAUACCCUAGUAGUC
rnacentral:rRNA from 1 species